rnacentral:rRNA from 1 species
AUUGAACGCUGGCGGCAUGCCUUACACAUGCAAGUCGAACGGUAACGGGUCCUUCGGGAUGCCGACGAGUGGCGAACGGGUGAGUAAUAUAUCGGAACGUGCCCAGUAGUGGGGGAUAACUGCUCGAAAGAGCAGCUAAUACCGCAUACGACCUGAGGGUGAAAGGGGGGGAUCGCAAGACCUCUCGCUAUUGGAGCGGCCGAUAUCAGAUUAGCUAGUUGGUGGGGUAAAGGCCUACCAAGGCAACGAUCUGUAGUUGGUCUGAGAGGACGACCAGCCACACUGGGACUGAGACACGGCCCAGACUCCUACGGGAGGCAGCAGUGGGGAAUUUUGGACAAUGGGCGCAAGCCUGAUCCAGCAAUGCCGCGUGCAGGAAGAAGGCCUUCGGGUUGUAAACUGCUUUUGUCAGGGAAGAAAUCUUCUGGGCUAAUACCCCGGGAGGAUGACGGUACCUGAAGAAUAAGCACCGGCUAACUACGUGCCAGCCGCCGCGGUAA